AUUGAACGCUGGCGGCAUGCUUUACACAUGCAAGUCGGACGAGUGGCGAACGGGUGAGUAAUAUAUUGGAACGUACCGAGUAAUGGGGGAUAACCAAUCGAAAGAUUGGCUAAUACCGCAUAUUAUUCGAGCGGCCUAUAUCUGAUUAGCUAGUUGGUGGGGUAAAGGCCUACCAAGGUGACGAUCAGUAGCGGGUCUGAGAGGAUGAUCGGCCACAGUGGGACUGAGACACGGCCCAGACUCCUACGGGAGGCAGCAGUGGGGAAUCUUGGGCAAUGGACGCAAGCCUGAUCCAGCCAUGCCGCGUGUGUGAAGAAGGCUUUCGGAUUGUAAAGCACUUUUGUUAGAGAAGCGGUACCUAAAGAGUAAGCACCGGCUAACUACGUGCCAGCAGCCGCGGUAAUUC
rnacentral:rRNA from 1 species